rnacentral:lncRNA from 1 species
GAAGUCAGAAGAAGUUCGGUGAACGACGAAUCAACGCAAGAAUCAGCAAGGGAUUACAAACUACGUUGAUGCCAAACAAGAUGGAAGACAAAUGGAGUUUGGUAAACAACCAUUCAAUACCAGAAUGGGCGAGGUAAUAAAUGAUUUCAUUCAUAUUUUAUUGGUGAAGUAUGCAUUACAAAACCUUAAAGGCCAAAAAAAAAGCAAACAACAAAAACACAUAUACAAAAUAAACAGCUCUAAGGAAGCUCGGCUCCAUCGGACUUCGAACUCCCGAUUCCAGCCAUCGUCGAGAAUUACUUCAAGUACUUGGCUUCUUCUUCCAGUCCCCCUCUC